UUAAGCUACAAAGGGCAUAUGGUGGAUGCCUAGGCGUUCCGAGCCGAUGAAGGACGCGAUAAGCUGCGAAAAGUCAUGGGGAGCCGCAAGUAGGCUUCGAUCCAUGGAUUUCCGAAUGGGGCAACCCGAUACGAGUCAUGUCGUAUCAUCCAUGUGUGACAUGGACGGCACACCCGGUGAACUGAAACAUCUAAGUAGCCGGAGGAAGAGUAAUCAAACGAGAUUCCCUCAGUAGCGGCGAGCGAACAGGGAAGAGCCCAAACCGGACGUCUUCGGACGACCGGGGUUGAGGACCAGCAUCAAGGGAAGGCAAGAUAGCCGAACAGUCUGGGAAGGCUGAGCAUAGACGGUGAAACUCCGGUAGACGAAAUCCAGAGCUGAUGGGCUGGUAUCCAGAGUACCACGAGACACGUGAAACCUUGUGGGAAGCAGGGUGGACCACCAUCCAAGGCAAAAUACUACGGAACGACCGAUAGCGCAUAGUACCGUGAGGGAAAGGUGAAAAGAACCGCGGGAGCGGAGUGAAAUAGAACCUGAAACCGUAUGUCUACAAGCAGUCGAAGCACUUUAUAUGUGCGACGGCGUGCCUAUUGAAGAAUGAACCGGCGAGUUAAUUUCAGAGGCGAGGUUAAGCGGGAGACGCGGAGCCGAAGCGAGAGCGAGUCUGAAUAGGGCGAAAGUCUCUGGGAUUAGACCCGAAACCACAGUGAUCUAUGCAUGGCCAGGUUGAAGCUCAGGUAAAAAUGAGUGGAGGACCGAACCCGUGAGUGUUGAAAAACUUUGGGAUGAGCUGUGCAUAGGGGUGAAAUGCCAAUCGAACGUGGAGAUAGCUGGUUCUCCCCGAAAUAGCUUUAGGGCUAGCCUCAGGUAACACAUGGAGACGGUAGAGCACUGAUCGGGUAAGGGAGCGUAAAGCUUACCGAGCCUAGUCAAACUGCGAAUGGCUUCAUGAGAAGAGCCUGGGAGUCAGAAUGCGAGUGAUAAGACCCGUAUUCAAAAGGGAAACAGCCCAGACCGCCGACUAAGGUCCCGAAUGCUGUACUAAGUGGAAAAGGAUGUAGGACUUCCAAAACAACCAGGAUGUUGGCUCAGAAGCAGCCACCAUUCAAAGAGUGCGUAAUAGCUCACUGGUCGAGAGGCCCUGCGCCGAAAAUAUCCGGGGCUCAAGUACAGAACCGAAGUCGCGGCAUGCGCAAGCAUGGGUAGGGGAGCGUUCCAAGUUGGUUGAAGGCAGACCGGAAGGACGGCUGGACGACUUGGAAGUGAGAAUGCUGGUAUGAGUAGCGAAACGAUCCGUGAGAAUCGGAUCCACCGAAAGCCUAAGGGAUCCUGAGCAACGCUCGUCGACUCAGGGUAAGUCGGGACCUAAGCCGAGGCAUAAAGCAUAGGCGAUGGACAACAGGCGAAAAUUCCUGUACUGCAUGAUGUUGUUUGAGGAUGGAGUGACACAGCAAGGAGCUUGAGCGCGCGAUUGGAAAUGCGCGUCGAAGGCGGUAGGCUGAUGUAGAGGCAAAUCCCUGCAUCAAGGCCGAGAACUGAUAGAUAGGAGCGUACUUCGGUACAAUCCAAAUUCAAGCGUACUACACUGUCGAGAAAAGCUUCUAACGAGACAUCAUGUACCCGUACCAAAACCGACACAGGUAGGCGGGGAGAGAAUCCUAAGGUGCGCGGGAAAACCCUCGUUAAGGAACUCGGCAAAAUGCAUCCGUAACUUCGGGAGAAGGAUGGCCGGAGCUGGUGAAGACCUUCGCGGUUGGAGCUGGAGCCGGCGGCAGAAGAGAAGCCCAAGCGACUGUUUACCACAAACACAGGUGCCUGCUAAAGAGAAAUCUGACGUAUAGGUGCUGACACCUGCCCGGUGCUGGAAGGUUAAGAGGAGAGGUUAUUCGCAAGAAGAAGCUUUGAAUUGAAGCCCCAGUAAACGGCGGCCGUAACUAUAACGGUCCUAAGGUAGCGAAAUUCCUUGUCGGGUAAGUUCCGACCCGCACGAAAGGUGUAACGACUUGGGCACUGUCUCAACGAGGGACCCGGUGAAAUUGAAAUACCUGUGAAGAUGCAGGUUACCCGCGACUGGACAGAAAGACCCCAUGGAGCUUUACUGCAGCCUGACAUUGAUUUUUGGCAUGUAACGUACAGGAUAGUUGGGAGACGGAGAAGAUAGGCCCCCAGGCUUAUCAGAGUCGCUGUUGGGAUACCAACCUUUAUGUGCUAGGGAUCUAACUCGAGAAGUAACGAAGCUGAGGACAGUAUCAGGUGGGCAGUUUGACUGGGGCGGUCGCCUCCGAAAGAGUAACGGAGGCGUCCAAAGGUUCCCUCAGCGCGGACAGAAAUCGCGCGAAGAGUAUAAAGGCAGAAGGGAGCUUGACUGCGAGACAUACAGGUCGAGCAGGUACGAAAGUAGGGCUUAGUGAUCCGGUGGAAUGAGAGUGGAAUUGCCAUCGCUCAACGGAUAAAAGCUACCCUGGGGAUAACAGGCUAAUCUCUCCCAAGAGUCCAUAUCGACGGGGAGGUUUGGCACCUCGAUGUCGGCUCAUCACAUCCUGGGGCUGAAGCAGGUCCCAAGGGUUGGGCUGUUCGCCCAUUAAAGUGGUACGUGAGCUGGGUUCAGAACGUCGUGAGACAGUUCGGUCCAUAUCCAUCGCGGGCGUAAGAUACAUGAGGGAGACUGCUCCUAGUACGAGAGGACCGGAGUGGACGGACCGCCGGUGUACCAGUUGUUUCGCCAGAAGCACAGCUGGGUAGCUGCGUCCGGAAGGGAUAAACGCUGAAAGCAUCUAAGCGUGAAGCCCGUCCCGAGAUGAAGUAUCUCAUAGCACAAGCUAGUAAGACACCUUGAAGAAGACAAGGUUGAUAGGGUAGAUGUGGAAGUGCUGCAAGGCAUGAAGCUGACUACUACUAAUAUGUCGAGGGCUUAACUAG
rnacentral:rRNA from 1 species